ACCGAGUGAUCCCAUAAACAUAUGGUAAACACCAUGCUAGGGCUAGUAACAAGAAUACAAAAUUCUCCAAAAUGCAAGUAUACACCAAAACGGACACCCCACUGACAAUUAACGGAAAUGAGCCAACUAUGGCAACAUCAACAAGAAAACCCCACAACACCCCCCCCGUUAACCUAACACCAGAGCAUUCCAGGAAAGAUUAACAGAGAAGGAAGGAACUCGGCAAAUCUCUACCCCGCCUGUUUACCAAAAACAUCGCCUCUUGACCCCAUAAGAGGUCCAGCCUGCCCAGUGACAAAAUUCAACGGCCGCGGUAUCCUAACCGUGCAAAGGUAGCACAAUCACUUGUUCUUUAAAUAAGGACUCGUAUCAACGGCACCACGAGGGUUGCACUGUCUCCCCCCUCUAAUCAGUGAAACUGAUCUCCCCGUGAAGAAGCGGGGAUUCACCCAUAAGACGAGAAGACCCCAUGGAGCUUAAAACUAACAGCAACUCAAUUACACACCACCCACAACCUAUAGAGCCAUGCAUGCCAGUUUUCGGUUGGGGCGACCGCGGAGCAAAAAUUAGCCUCCACAACGAAAAAGAACUAAAUCUUUAUCCUAGAGCCACUCCUCCAAGAAUUAGUACACUAACGAUUAAUGACCCGACUAUCGAUCAACGAACCAAGUUACCCUGGGGAUAACAGCGCAAUCUACUUCAAGAGCCCCUAUCGACAAGUAGGCUUACGACCUCGAUGUUGGAUCAGGGUACCCCAGAGGCGCAGCCG
rnacentral:rRNA from 1 species